GACGAACGCUGGCGGCGUGCCUAAUACAUGCAAGUUGAGCGCUGAAGGUUGGUACUUGUACCGACUGGCUGAGCAGCGAACGGGUGAGUAACGCGUGGGGAAUCUGCCUUUGAGCGGGGGACAACAUUUGGAAACGAAUGCUAAUACCGCAUAAAAACUUUAAACACAAGUUUUAAGUUUGAAAGAUGCAAUUGCAUCACUCAAAGAUGAUCCCGCGUUGUAUAGCUAGUUGGUGAGGUAAAGGCUCACCAAGGCGAUGAUACAUAGCCGACCUGAGAGGGUGAUCGGCCACAUUGGGACUGAGACACGGCCCAAACUCCUACGGGAGGCAGCAGUAGGGAAUCUUCGGCAAUGGACGAAAGUCUGACCGAGCAACGCCGCGUGAGUGAAGAAGGUUUUCGGAUCGUAAAACUCUGUUGGUAGAGAAGAACGUUGGUGAGAGUGGAAAGCUCAUCAAGUGACGGUAACUACCCAGAAAGGGACGGCUAACUACGUG
rnacentral:rRNA from 1 species